UACGUAGGUGGCAAGCGUUGUCCGGAAUUAUUGGGCGUAAAGAGCUCGUAGGCGGUCUGUCGCGUCGGCUGUGAAAACCCGGAGCUCAACUCCGGGCCUGCAGUCGAUACGGGCAGACUGGAGUUCGGCAGGGGAGACUGGAAUUCCUGGUGUAGCGGUGAAAUGCGCAGAUAUCAGGAGGAACACCGGUGGCGAAGGCGGGUCUCUGGGCCGAUACUGACGCUGAGGAGCGAAAGCGUGGGGAGCGAACAGG
rnacentral:rRNA from 1 species